rnacentral:lncRNA from 1 species
AAAAGGCAGAAGCAUGUGGACAGCAGCUCCUCAUGAUUACUUCAUUCGGGGAGGCAGCAUGCUGUGCUGAAAAGUGUUCUGGCUUUGGUGGCAAAGAGAUCAGCUUUGCCAUUUACCAACUGCUUGAUGUGGGACACAUUUCAUCUCUCAAAGACCCAGUUUCCAUGCAUUUGAAAUAAGGAUACAAUAUUUACUUCAGAAAGCUGUUAUGAAGAGUAAAUGCAGAUGUGAAAUUUACAGAUAUUUCCACCUCAUCUGCUCCAGCCAGUACUGCAGUGGGAAGGUCAUGCACUGCACAGUGAUUGCCAGUAGAUGGCGCAAUGGGCCUGCCGCCAUCCCAGGCUUUGUUUCUGAACCCAGCGGGAGAGGGAGAUGACAGAAAUCUUUAUUGCAAACUGGGGGACACCAUUAGCUACAGUGGCCUCCUGGGAUCACCAUUUGCAAUAUAAGCCCAGUGACUUAAAGGAGAGAGUGGAGAGGAAUCAUGGUAAGGCUUGUAACUCCAAGGAUGAAGAACAACCAGGGCUUGGGGAUGGGUGAAGAAUCUUCUGAAGAAGUGACCUGGCUACUCUUAUAAAGGUCUGUGCUUCCGCCUGCACGGUCAUCACUGCUGUUGACAUAAAAUACAGAAUUUAUCAUGAGCCAUUCCCUGCUUAAACACCUACUAUGGUGCCCCAUUCGAAUCCAAGCAGGGUGUUUAAGGUGCUUCAGACUCUGUCUUGAUCCUCCUCUUGCAGAUUACUCCCUGCCACUACCCUAUGGGGAGUCUCUUGCCACAUCCUCCAUGCUCUAAAUCUCUAUGGCUUUGGCUCAUCCAGGGUGAUGUGACUGUUGCUUCCUCUGCCUGGCUUGUCCUCUUCUCUCUGUUAACUCCUGCUCUUUGUCAAGAUCUAGCUCAGAUUAUUAUUUCCUCUCUGAAGACUCUUCUUGGUAAAGUUGCUCGCUCUGCACUGCUUCCUCAGAUCUUUGUGCACUUGUUACGUGCUUUUUAAUUUGUUUUAUGGCUCUAUCUCCCUAACUAGACUGAAAGCACUUGAGGAUGGUGACCUUUUCAUAGUCUUUUUGUUAUUUGGGCACUUAACACAUAGCAGCUGCCCCAUGAUUGCUGGUCCCUUUUCUUUCUCUCCUCGCCAACCACCCACCCUGUUGUCAGACUGAAAUAAGCCCAAAAGUCCAUGGAAGUUGGACAGCUGUAUUGACAACUGAGCUAUGUCCAGGAUCAAGCUAUCUCUUCUUAACUGCUUAGCAUGCUUCUAAGCAUGGUUCAGGGAAGCCAGGACAACAGAAGAGUUCAGAUAAGGUGGCCAAAAGUCCUGGAAUAGUCAAAACAAUUCCUGCUUCCCUGUGGUUAUCCUAAGGAAGACCAAUGUGUCAUUUUCCCCUGGGAGCAUCUCAGGGGCUGGCUUUUACUUGUUUCAGGAACAACUUUGCACACAUGACCACAGCCAUUGCUUUGGCAUCUCUUUCCCCUAGACAGGAUUUGUUUCCUGGGCACAUGUUGACACAAAUACCAUAGGUUCCUUUUGGCAGGUCCAGGUGCCUACCUAUUUCAAAAGGUUGUUUUAGGAAUGAAACUGGAUACUGUUCAAGUUCCAACCACAUUGUGACCUCAUCCACUACUACCCACCUACCAGGUCCUCACAUGUGAACUCUCCCUGCACUCAUGAUUGCCCUGCCACACGAGUGUUGGUUGGAGUAUUGUUUAGAAGCAAAUCAGCCUUCAAUGUGUACCAUGGGCAGCUAUUAGGCAUGAAAAUCUGCCAGCUGCCCUAUAAUUUCUAUGAACAAAGGGAUCCCUACAACAAGGGAAAGCUGGAUUCCCACAGAAAGAGACUAGGCAAAGGCAUUUGGUCCAUUUGUAUUGUAAGGCCUAAAACUUCAAGAGCUGCCUUAAAGUGCUUUCAAGUUCUCACAGGGUCCAAAGGUCUAACCCUGAGUUCUCCUGCUCUUUGAAUGUGCUCCCCCCUCCACCACCCAGUGGGAGAGGCUCCCCACCUGGCUAGUUCCUCUAUUAUCAGAUCAGCUGCACCCACCCAGUUCUUAACCUAUGAGUCUCAAGUCCCUGUCAGCCCACAAAAAAAGCUAAUCACAUCUUCCUGCAGGAGUACUUUUAAUGGCAAAAACCACGAUUACCCUUGCACCAUCCUAAUGCAAAGCCUGCCUUCCACAGCCUCUGCUGGUUCACCCUGCUCCCAAGUGGAACCUCUGUGGGUCACUGCAUGGCAUGCAGUAUCCUCCUCCCUCAGGCUGUGAGUAUAGGUGACACUAAUUCUAUGUGCUAUUCAUCUCAUCUCUUCAGUGUCAGGUGUCAUGGGUUCAGCCAUCUCACACUAUUUAAAGUGGGGGACCCGUCCUUCACUGAUGGAGUGGACAGGUGAUCAGAGAACCAUCCCACCAAGAGAAAGACCCUCUUGAGGCCCUCCAUCUCUGCAUGUCAGGUUCACAGUAAGUCUUAACGGUGCCAAACAUAAGCCCUUAUGCCACUCUUCUCUUCUCUUAUCACCUUUGCACCCUUCUCCAACCCACACACAUGCAUACACUGGGCCCCUGACUUCCCUCUUCCUAGCUUCUCUUUCUGCUAUUAACUGGCAGUUGCUGCCUAAACUCGCCAACCACCUUGAGAGUUGUGAGAGGAUAGCCCGGCAGCCUGUAGCUGUAUGCUGGGGGUGGGGAGGGCUGAAAGGAAGAGGACGUCCACCCUCCCAAUGUCAAGUUGCUGAGUGAAGUCUCCUUUGAUGACAAUGCAGUAGGGCUAAAGUGGACUAAAAUUUGCUUUCUCUCUCUCAGGCUGUGAGACAGAGCAUAGAACCUGUGUCAGGUCACAGGAGAGUGAUCCCCCAACACUUUGGGCCAUGUUCCAACCCUGCCUGCCCCAAUUCCCAUUGUGUAAAAUCCAUCUGCAACCUAUGCCAGCCUUCCAGAAUGCAGAGGGACCCUGGGAAGAGCUGGAGAAGAGAAGAGGAAGAAGGAUGGGAGACGGAAGAUUCUCAGUUGGAAAAAAAAACAGCAGCAAGAAACUUUGUUUACCUUGUUGGUCAGAUUAAAUUUCUGCCACCAAAAGAAAUCGAGAUUGAAAAGCUAAGUUUAAUUAUGGAGAAAAUAAAGUUACAUUUUUUUUUGCACAACAAAGUCAUUGACUAUGAAAUUUAUAAGCAUCAUAUGAAACAGACAAUCUUAUGAAACUUACCAAGGAUGUUUCCAGCAACCCCUUGUUUAGGGAACAGAGUAAAGGGGAGAAAAGGUAGCAUUUUCAAAUCUCAAGAAAGUGUUUUAUGUCAGAAUUCAAUUUGUCCCAGAGCACAGCUGUCAAGAGCUUUGUAAAUCUAGGCCUCUAGGAGGAGAGGGCUAAAGCACUUUCAGGAUAAAGGCUAGAAGCCUAAGGCCCUGAUCAUUUGGGCAAUCCUUGUUAUUGCAUUUGUUGUUCCAUUCUCUGACACUUCUAAAAGGCUGUGGAAUCUCCAGAUGUGUUCAUAAAAUAGUGGUAGCAAUUAUUCAUUGCUUCUAGGAAAGGGAAAUGGAUAUGUUACCAACAAAGCCAGUCCCCAUACAAAUGGAGUCUUUCCCCGUUUAGUGCUGUGAAGCCAAUAUACAAAACCAAAAGUGAGUGUCAAGUAGUGCAGGCUUUAUUCCAUGGCCACUGUAUUAGUCAGGGUUCUCUUAGAGGGACAGAACUAAUAGGAUAGAUGAUAGAUAGAUGAUAGAUAGAGAGAUAGAUAGAUAGAGAGAUAGACAGAUAUAAAGGGAAUUUAUUAAGUAUCAACUUACAUGAUCACGAGGUCCCACAAUAGGCUGUCUGCAAGCUGAGGAGCAAGAAGGGCCAGUCCAAGUCCCCAGACUGAAGAACUUGGAGUCCGAUGUUCAAAGGCAGGAAGCAUCCAGCAUGGGAGAAAGAUGUAGGCUGUGAGGCUAGGUCCAUCUCUCCUUUUCACGUUUUUCUGCCUGCUUUAUAUUCACUGGCAGCUGAUUAGAUUGUACCCACCAGAUUAAGGGUGGAUCUGCCUUCCCCAGUGCACUGACUCAAGUGUUAAUUUCUUUUGGCAACACCCACAGGCACACCCAGGAUUAAUACUUUGUAACCCUCAAUCCAAUCAAGUUGACACUCAGUAUUAACCAUCACAAGUCCACCCCUUGUCAACCUGAACCCAUACACAUCUCCUGAGAUCAUACAUAAUCUUCAAAUAAAGACAAUAAUGAGGUCAUAAU